GUCGGCCUAGAGGGAAGAAGAGAGAGAGAGAGUGGCAAGCUAGAGAGAGAAAGGGAGAGAGGGGCUGCCAUUUUCUAGAGAGAAGGAGGAAAGAAAGAAGGAGAAGGAGGAGAAAGGAAAGGGGUUUCAAAGCUCUAGGAUUUUGAGCAAGGAGGUGGUUCUAGUUUGGGUUCUUGAUUUCUAUCAAGAAAGACUCGUUGUGAAGUUGUCAAUUGUGCUUUGCUUGGACCUGAGCGUGAUGAGCGCGACACUACAAUAAGGGGUUACUAAGGAUAUGAAGACGUAACCCGAGUUACUAAGGAUAUGAAGACGUAACUCACAGGGCGAACGCGCCGAGGUUAUUCAAGGACCAAAGAUCUUGUUUACCUCAAGAGGUGACAUGGACAAGUUAGCGGGUCAUGUUCACAAAGCCAUGAUGUUAUGUUUAUGAUGUUAUGAUGAUGAUGACCAUGUGUAUGAUGCCUAUGUUUUGAUGAUUAUGUAUAAGUUUAUAAUGAUGAUAGUUACGAUAAUGAUGCUAUGAUGUAUGACGAUGUAUGAGUAUGAAUAUAUUUUGUCGUGUUUUGCUUAUGUGUUAUUUGUACUUCCUUACUGGGCUUUUAGCUCACCCCCUUACUUUCCCUUCCAAGUAGCAAAUAGGUUUUCUCUUUGGCACGCGUGGUGAUGUGAGGAGUUCUAUCGUCAGGGUGUGUAUGGCGUGGGGGCAUCCUAUGGACAAGAAAUGAUCAAUUAAACGCCAUUUUCUACAGAAUAAUGUUAUGUUUAUUUUUAACUUUUAGAACUUAUUAGUGGGACUUGAACUUUAAUUAUUUUUAAAACGUUGCAUGAAAACUAUUAUUUUUCUUUUAAACUAUUGGGCCCAACUUGCAUGUUUUAGCAAGGCCCCACUUGGAUUUUUUUUUUAUAAUAAGUAGCUUUUCUUUUGUAAACUUAUGUGCAUGCAAAUAUUUUACAAAGUAUUAGAUUAGGACGUUUU